rnacentral:rRNA from 1 species
UUAAGCGACUAAGCGUACACGGUGGAUGCCCUGGCAGUCAGAGGCGAUGAAGGGCGUGCUAAUCUGCGAUAAGCGCCGGUAAGGUGAUAUGAACCGUUAUAACCGGCGAUACCCGAAUGGGGAAACCCAGUGUGAUUCGUCACACUAUCAUUAACUGAAUCCAUAGGUUAAUGAGGCGAACCGGGGGAACUGAAACAUCUAAGUACCCCGAGGAAAAGAAAUCAACCGAGAUUCCCCCAGUAGCGGCGAGCGAACGGGGAGGAGCCCAGAGCCUGAAUCAGCAUGUGUGUUAGUGGAAGCGUCUGGAAAGGCGCGCGAUACAGGGUGACAGCCCCGUACACAAAAGCGCAUGUGCUGUGAGCUCGAUGAGUAGGGCGGGACACGUGGUAUCCUGUCUGAAUAUGGGGGGACCAUCCUCCAAGGCUAAAUACUCCUGACUGACCGAUAGUGAACCAGUACCGUGAGGGAAAGGCGAAAAGAACCCCGGCGAGGGGAGUGAAAAAGAACCUGAAACCGUGUACGUACAAGCAGUGGGAGCNNGUGACUGCGUACCUUUUGUAUAAUGGGUCAGCGACUUAUAUUCUGUAGCAAGGUUAACCGAAUAGGGGAGCCGGAGGGAAACCGAGUCUUAAUUGGGCGUUAAGUUGCAGGGUAUAGACCCGAAACCCGGUGAUCUAGCCAUGGGCAGGUUGAAGGUUGGGUAACACUAACUGGAGGACCGAACCGACUAAUGUUGAAAAAUUAGCGGAUGACCUGUGGCUGGGGGUGAAAGGCCAAUCAAACCGGGAGAUAGCUGGUUCUCCCCGAAAGCUAUUUAGGUAGCGCCUCGUGAAUUCAUCUCCGGGGGUAGAGCACUGUUUCGGCUAGGGGGCCAUCCCGGCUUACCAACCCGAUGCAAACUGCGAAUACCGGAGAAUGUUAUCACGGGAGACACACGGCGGGUGCUAACGUCCGUCGUGAAGAGGGAAACAACCCAGACCGCCAGCUAAGGUCCCAAAGUCAUGGUUAAGUGGGAAACGAUGUGGGAAGGCCCAGACAGCCAGGAUGUUGGCUUAGAAGCAGCCAUCAUUUAAAGAAAGCGUAAUAGCUCACUGGUCGAGUCGGCCUGCGCGGAAGAUGUAACGGGGCUAAACCAUGCACCGAAGCUGCGGCAGCGACACUGUGUGUUGUUGGGUAGGGGAGCGUUCUGUAAGCCUGUGAAGGUGUGUCGUGAGGCAUGCUGGAGGUAUCAGAAGUGCGAAUGCUGACAUAAGUAACGAUAAAGCGGGUGAAAAGCCCGCUCGCCGGAAGACCAAGGGUUCCUGUCCAACGUUAAUCGGGGCAGGGUGAGUCGACCCCUAAGGCGAGGCCGAAAGGCGUAGUCGAUGGGAAACGGGUUAAUAUUCCCGUACUUGGUGUUACUGCGAAGGGGGGACGGAGAAGGCUAUGUUGGCCGGGCGACGGUUGUCCCGGUUUAAGCGUGUAGGUGUGUGUUCCAGGUAAAUCCGGUUCACUUUAACACUGAGGCGUGACGACGAGGCACUACGGUGCUGAAGCAACAAAUGCCCUGCUUCCAGGAAAAGCCUCUAAGCAUCAGGUAACAUCAAAUCGUACCCCAAACCGACACAGGUGGUCAGGUAGAGAAUACCAAGGCGCUUGAGAGAACUCGGGUGAAGGAACUAGGCAAAAUGGUGCCGUAACUUCGGGAGAAGGCACGCUGACACGUAGGUGAAGUGAUUUACUCAUGGAGCUGAAGUCAGUCGAAGAUACCAGCUGGCUGCAACUGUUUAUUAAAAACACAGCACUGUGCAAACACGAAAGUGGACGUAUACGGUGUGACGCCUGCCCGGUGCCGGAAGGUUAAUUGAUGGGGUCAGCGCAAGCGAAGCUCCUGAUCGAAGCCCCGGUAAACGGCGGCCGUAACUAUAACGGUCCUAAGGUAGCGAAAUUCCUUGUCGGGUAAGUUCCGACCUGCACGAAUGGCGUAAUGAUGGCCAGGCUGUCUCCACCCGAGACUCAGUGAAAUUGAACUCGCUGUGAAGAUGCAGUGUACCCGCGGCAAGACGGAAAGACCCCGUGAACCUUUACUAUAGCUUGACACUGAACAUUGAGCCUUGAUGUGUAGGAUAGGUGGGAGGCUUUGAAGUGUGGACGCCAGUCUGCAUGGAGCCGACCUUGAAAUACCACCCUUUAAUGUUUGAUGUUCUAACGUGGACCCGUUACCCGGGUUGCGGACAGUGUCUGGUGGGUAGUUUGACUGGGGCGGUCUCCUCCUAAAGAGUAACGGAGGAGCACGAAGGUUGGCUAAUCCUGGUCGGACAUCAGGAGGUUAGUGCAAUGGCAUAAGCCAGCUUGACUGCGAGCGUGACGGCGCGAGCAGGUGCGAAAGCAGGUCAUAGUGAUCCGGUGGUUCUGAAUGGAAGGGCCAUCGCUCAACGGAUAAAAGGUACUCCGGGGAUAACAGGCUGAUACCGCCCAAGAGUUCAUAUCGACGGCGGUGUUUGGCACCUCGAUGUCGGCUCAUCACAUCCUGGGGCUGAAGUAGGUCCCAAGGGUAUGGCUGUUCGCCAUUUAAAGUGGUACGCGAGCUGGGUUUAGAACGUCGUGAGACAGUUCGGUCCCUAUCUGCCGUGGGCGCUGGAGAACUGAGGGGGGCUGCUCCUAGUACGAGAGGACCGGAGUGGACGCAUCACUGGUGUUCGGGUUGUCAUGCCAAUGGCACUGCCCGGUAGCUAAAUGCGGAAGAGAUAAGUGCUGAAAGCAUCUAAGCACGAAACUUGCCCCGAGAUGAGUUCUCCCUGAGACUUAGAGUCUCCUGAAGGAACGUUGAAGACGACGACGUUGAUAGGCCGGGUGUGUAAGCGCAGCGAUGCGUUGAGCUAACCGGUACUAAUGAACCGUGAGGCUUAACCUU